rnacentral:rRNA from 1 species
CCUACGGGAGGCAGCAGUGAGGAAUAUUGGACAAUGGGCGCAAGCCUGAUCCAGCCAUGCCGCGUGCAGGAAGAAGCAUCUAUGGUGUGUAAACUGCUUUUGUACAGGAAGAAACACUCCCUCGUGAGGGAGCUUGACGGUACUGUAAGAAUAAGGACCGGCUAACUCCGUGCCAGCAGCCGCGGUAAUACGGAGGGUCCGAGCGUUAUCCGGAAUCAUUGGGUUUAAAGGAUCCGUAGGCGGUUUAAUAAGUCAGUGGUGAAAUCUGGUCGCUCAACGAUCAAACGGCCAUUGAUACUGUUAGACUUGAAUUAUAAGGAAGUAACUAGAAUAUGUAGUGUAGCGGUGAAAUGCUUAGAUAUUACAUGGAAUACCAAUUGCGAAGGCAGGUUACUACUUAUGGAUUGACGCUGAUGGACGAAAGCGUGGGGAGCGAACAGGAUUAGAUACCCUGGUAGUCCACGCCGUAAACGAUGGAUACUAGCUGUUCGGAGCAAUCUGAGUGGCUAAGCGAAAGUGAUAAGUAUCCCACCUGGGGAGUACGUUCGCAAGAAUGAAACUCGAAAGGAAUUGACGG